AUCUCCGACCGUUGCCCCGCGGACAGGUCAUACUACUAGUGCGGGUUUGCUAGGAUGCGCUAGCACUAGAAACAUAGUCGUAGCGCGGGUCGCCACAUGCGCUACAACUAACCCAGCCCAGCGAGACAAGCAACCCAGCCCAGCGAACAACCUCUCCAUAGUUCUCUCAUUUUCCUCCUCUUCCUCCCGCGAACCCUCGCCGCCGCCACCAACGACGGGCGAAUCCGGCUACUUCCCGCGGCCCUCGCCGGAGCAAAGCACACUCACGAGGUCUCCUGGUGACGGCGCUUCCUUCCCUCCGGCCAAAUCCUCUCCUCCCGGCCGCAAGCGCUCGCGCGCGACCCCUCCUGUGGCUAGGGUUUCGGCUGCCUCCAACUCCGGCGCGCCACCCUCCUCCAUGGGCGAGGACGACCACCACGGCACGCACAUGGUCGAGCUUGCCGUCGUCUGCUCCGGUGCGGUACUGGGCCAACGGCCUCCACCUCCACGGCUCCUAGCUUGGGUAAGCAUCCCCAUCACCAUGGUCGUUUCACUUUCUUCCUCCUUUUUGCAUCCUGUUCUUGCUGCUCCAUUGAUUUGUUCAUGGAGGCCAUAACUUUAUCCUUUUGCUGCAUCUAAAAGCUAGUACUCUGCCAGUCCUGAUAAUACACAUGGACUCGGAUCUCUGUAUGAUUGGUGUUUUAUUAGAUGUUCAGAUGCAUGGUCUUGGCAGGACUGUUGGACACUAUCAUCUUGUACUGUUGUCACACAUGGCAUUGACCAAACAGUGAGCACAAGCCCAUGCUUCGUGAACUCUUGGGGUAAGCACAGGUAGCAAUCGUCGAAGCAGUUUGAUUGGUGCUUAUAUGUGAUAAACAUUGCAGUACUUCAUAGUAGUACCGUGUGCUAGGUACCUGAUUCAUUCAUUUAUAACUGAAAACAAUCUUGAGGGUCUUAGAAAAACAAAAUGUUAACUGAAGAAGAAGAAAAUGAAUACUGAAGGAAUUAACCAGCAAAAGAUGAGGAUGAUUACUGUGGGGGUUUACAGUACUGCACAAUAAUUUUCUGUCAAAAAACUAAAGUUAGUGACAAAAGAAACUUAAGUAAUUGAAAACCAAAGCAAUUUGGGAGCCUCAACUAGUUAUGUAGCAGUAGUACUACCUAGGACCAUCGGCCAGAUUUGUCUAAAUUUAUACACAUCAGUCAGAAAAGGGACAGGUUGAAUAUGCAACCACAGCAGAGAGCAUGACACAAUCUAUAAUGUCCUCUGCUCUUCAGAGGGAUCGGAUCUACAAAAUUAGUUUUCCUUUGUAAAACGAAGAUGUAGGCGUCAAUAACAAAAUGUGCAGAGAUUUCAUGAUUAUCCUAGCAGUACUUCUUCCUCACUAAUAAUCAACUAAGGCCAGGCAUGUUAUUUCGCAGACUAGAUUAGUUCAGUAGAAUUCAUACUGCAUAGUACAUCACCUAUUAUUAAUGGUCCCAAGUACAUUAAUGGUUACAUAAAGAUCAGUUCUAAUAGUAGAGAGGAAGAUUAAUUACACAUCUUUCGUCAACUACUAAGGCUUCCUGUGUUAUUUUGUAGACUAGAUUAGUUCAGUAGAAUUCCAAUUAGAUCAGGUACAACGUCUGUUGAUGGUAUCAAGUACAUAUGGGGAUGAGUAGUAGUAGUUGGAACCAGUCAAGGGGAAAUUGCUAUUAGGACAAGCAGAGUACAAUAGGUGGUGAUCAGGAUGCCCGAAAGCGUUUUGACAAGGCUAGCCUUCUGUACGACCAGCUAAUGUUGUUCUCAGGUCAUUUCAAAGUUACAAUAUUAAACAUGUCUUCAAGGUGAUUCUGAAGCUUCUGUCAUGGGUUCAAUCUUGUGGUAGCAAUAACAAAGUUCAAUAUGUUGGCUUAUUGUGAACAAAAUGAUAGAGUUGUAUAUUCCCCAAUUUUUGUUUUGGUGUUUGUUUACGCUGUUCCUGUCAACCUGCCAAUAUGAUAGCCAACUUUCACUAUAAUCAGAAGGAGUCUGUUUGCCAUAAUGUGUAGAUGCUAUUUCUAUGUUAUUUUUCUGUCUACUAACUCCUUGUUGCUAAAAAAGUGACCCAUGGUAAAAAUUAAUCUAGUAUACGCAGAAUCUAAUUUUUGCUGCAUUUUUCUACAGCGUGGCGAUAUGAUAGCUUUAUUCCAUUUCUGCUGUCAUCAGCAUGCUAUCAUUUGUAGUUGUUAUUGCAUUUUUGACAAAAGUCGAGUUUAUUUUUAAAAAGGGUCUCGCUGACUGAUUUGUGUUCUGGCCCAGGCUCAUGAAAGUGUAUUUAUCCUUGAAGAAACGAACAAUGACAGACAAAGAAACUGCAGUUGAGGAUAUCAUCAUUUGAGCAAGCUCGUUUCAACUUGGUAGGUGUACUGCUUCCCUGUAUCUCUAUUCACUAUAUCUUUAUUUGAGCAAGCCAGAUUUGAACGCUAACGCGUGAUACGUCCCUAACGUAUCUAUAAAUUUUGAUUGUUCCAUGUUAUUAUAUUAUUUGUUUUGGAUGUUUAAUGGGCUUUACUAAGCAUUUUUAUAUUAUUUUUGGGACUAACCUAUUAACCGAAGGCCCAGUGCAAAUUGUUGUUUUUUUGCCUAUUUCAGUGUUUCGCAGAAAAGGAAUAUCAA